UUAUCAUUAAAUAUUCUCUUUGGAUAUUUAAUGACAAAUUUAUUCUCUCUCUGAAACCUCUACGUCAGCUGUUCCUUUGCUAUUAUUUCCUCUGUUAAUCAGGGUAAUUAAUACAAACUGCCAAAACAUGCAAAUGUCAUAAUGCCAGCCAAUAGGAUUCUUCUUGCACAGCUUUCCUCCAAUCCGCAUUCAGGAACCCUGGGUGACUCUUGCAAUCCUGCCAUCUCAGCAUCCUUCAUUUUCAAUCAAAUGGACAGGAAAAAGCACUUUUCAUGAAAUUCUACAUAUAAGAAUACAGAUUAUAUAUGUAAAAUCUAUGUAU
rnacentral:lncRNA from 1 species